AGAACGAACGCUGGCGGCAGGCCUCAAACAUGCAAGUCUAGGGGGUGUAGCAAUACAUCACCGGCGGACGGGUGCGUAACGCGUGGGAAUAUACCUAUUGGUUCGGAACAACUGAGGGAAACUUCAGCUAAUACCGGAUGAGCCCGAAAGGGGAAAGAUUUCUCACCAAUGGAUUAGCCCGCGUCCGAUUAGCUAGUUGGUGGGGUUAUGGCCUACCAAGGCGACGAUCGGUAGCUGUUCUGAGAGGAAGAUCAGCCACACUGGGACUGAGACACGGCCCAGACUCCUACGGGAGGCAGCAGUUGGGAAUCUUGGACAAUGGGGGAAACCCUGAUCCAGCCAUGCCGCGUGAGUGAUGAAGGCCUUCGGGUUGUAAACUCUUUCGACGGGGACGAUAAUGACGGUACCGUAGAAGAAGCUCCGGCUAACUUCGCGCCAGCAGCCGC
rnacentral:rRNA from 1 species